AUUGAACGCUGGCGGCAGGCCUAACACAUGCAAGUCGAGCGAGCGGCGGACGGGUGAGUAAUGUAUGGGACUCUGCCUGAUGGAGGGGGAUAACUACUGGAAACGGUAGCUAAUACCGCAUACCAUCAGAUGUGCCCAUAUGGGAUUAGCUAGUAGGUGGGGUAAUGGCUCACCUAGGCGACGUUCCCUAGCUGGUAUGAGAGGAUGACCAGCCACACGGGAACUGAGACACGGUCCAGACUCCUACGGGAGGCAGCAGUGGGGAAUAGUGCACAAGGGGGGCAAGCCUGAUGCAGCCAUGUCGCGUGUGUGAAGAAGGCCUUAGGGUUGGAAAGCAAUGUAAGCGAGGAGGCGGUACCAGCAGAAGAAGCACCGGCUAACUCCGUGCCAGCAGCCGCGGUAAUUC
rnacentral:rRNA from 1 species